GAUGAACGCUGGCGGCGUGCCUAAUACAUGCAAGUCGAGCGAACGGACGAGAAGCUUGCUUCUCUGAUGUUAGCGGCGAACGGGUGAGUAACACGUGGAUAACCUACCUAUAAGACUGGGAUAACUUCGGGAAACCGGAGCUAAUACCGGAUAAUAUUUUGAACCGCAUGGUUCAAAAGUGAAAGACGGUCUUGCUGUCACUUAUAGAUGGAUCCGCGCUGCAUUAGCUAGUUGGUAAGGUAACGGCUUACCAAGGCAACGAUGCAUAGCCGACCUGAGAGGGUGAUCGGCCACACUGGAACUGAGACACGGUCCAGACUCCUACGGGAGGCAGCAGUAGGGAAUCUUCCGCAAUGGGCGAAAGCCUGACGGAGCAACGCCGCGUGAGUGAUGAAGGUCUUCGGAUCGUAAAACUCUGUUAUUAGGGAAGAACAUAUGUGUAAGUAACUGUGCACAUCUUGACGGUACCUAAUCAGAAAGCCACGGCUAACUACGUG
rnacentral:rRNA from 1 species